AUUGAACGCUGGCGGCAGGCCUAACACAUGCAAGUCGAACGAGUGGCGGACGGGUGAGUAAUGUCUGGGAAACUGCCUGAUGGAGGGGGAUAACUACUGGAAACGGUAGCUAAUACCGCAUAACAUCAGAUGUGACCAGAUGGGAUUAGCUAGUUGGUGGGGGAACGGCUCACCAAGGCAACGAUCCAUAGCUGGUCUGAGAGGAUGACCAGCCACACGGGAACUGAGACACGGUCCAGACUACUACGGGAGGCAGCAGUGGGGAAUAUUGCACAAUGGUCGCAAGCCUGAUGCAGCCAUGCCGCGUGUAGGAAGAAGGCCUUCGGGUUGUAAAGUACUUUCAGCGGUGAGGCGUGACCCGCAGAAGAAGCACCGGCUAACUCCGUGCCAGCAGCCGCGGUAAUAC
rnacentral:rRNA from 1 species